CUUCAGCUUUACUGUUCAUCUCUUCUUUGGUGAGACCUCUGAACAUGAGCAGCGAGAGGUAAAGAGAGUCUGUAAUGAAGAAUGGACGAUAGUGAGAAAAAAUCCACAAGUCCCAACAUUCAACAACAUGCAGACCAAAUCAACAUCAGUAGCUGGUGCAGGGAUGGAGAGUUUAUGUUCCCUGUUUCUUCCUCAUUUCCUGCAGACUGGAGUGUCCUCAAACACCCGUCUUUAUGACCAAAUCCAAAAACUCUCAAACUGAAACCUUCAGGGGUGAGUAAUGAAGCCAUCGAUGAGGUACCAAAACCUGCAGUUCCUCCAGUGUCCACUAGAGUGUGUCUCCUGCAGUGAGUCAGUCCCCAUAGAGCCCCAUGUUAAAAUGUUAC